CCCUUAGAUGUCCUGGGCCGCGCGCGCGUUACACUGAUGCAUUCAACGAGCUUAUAACCUUGGCCGAGAGGCCCGGGCAAUCUUGUUAACGUGCAUCGUGAUAGGGAUAGAUUAUUGAAAUUAUUAAUCUUGAACGAGGAAUUCCUAGUAAACGCAGAUCAUCAAUCUGCAUUGAUUACGUCCCUGCCCUUUGUACACACCGCCCGUCGCACCUACCGAUUGGAUGGUCCGGUGAAGCCUCGGGAUUGUGGUUCUUGCCGCUUUAUUGUGGCGUGACCGCGAGAACUUGUCUAAACCUUAUCAUCUAGAGGAAGGUGAAGUCGUAACA
rnacentral:rRNA from 1 species